rnacentral:rRNA from 1 species
AGUGAACGCUGGCGGCAUGCCUAACACAUGCAAGUCGAACGGCAGCACAGUAAGAUCGUGCUCUUACGGGUGGCGGGUGGCGGACGGGUGAGGAAUACAUCGUAUUCUACUGUUUCGUGGGGGAUAACGGAGGGAAACUUAUGAUACUACAUCAUACCUUCUACGGCUGGAAGCAGGGGUGCUACAUACCUUUCGCGCAUGAAUGAGCCGAUGUCGGUUUUGUUAGUUGGGUGGGUAAAGGCCCACCAAGGCGACGAACCGUAGCUGGCCUGAGAGGAUGGUCAGCCACACUGGAACUGAGACACGGUCCAGACUCCUCCGGGAGGCAGCAGUGGGGAAUAUUGGACAAUGGGCGCAAGCCUGAUCCAGCCAUACCGCGUGGUUGAAGAAGGCCUUCGGGUUGUAAAGCCCUUUUGUUGGGAAGGAAGAGCAGGAGGGUAGAACCCCGAUGUACUGACGGUACCCAAAGAAUAAGCACCGGCUAACUUCGUG